UACGUAGGGUGCAAGCGUUGUCCGGAAUUAUUGGGCGUAAAGAGCUCGUAGGCGGUUCGUCGCGUCGGCUGUGAAAACCCGGAGCUCAACUCCGGGCCUGCAGUCGAUACGGGCGGACUAGAGUUCGGCAGGGGAGACUGGAAUUCCUGGUGUAGCGGUGAAAUGCGUAGAUAUCGGGAGGAACACCUGUGGCGAAAGCGGCUCACUGGACCAUAACUGACGCUGAUGCACGAAAGCUGGGGGAGCAAACAGG
rnacentral:rRNA from 1 species